ACCAACGUAGCUCAACGGUAGAGUCCUGGUUUCGGGGGGUGGAGGUUCAAUUCCUCUCGAUGGUA
rfam:Phytophthora infestans T30-4 supercont1.8 genomic scaffold, whole genome shotgun sequence.